UACAGAGGGUGCAAGCGUUGUUCGGAAUUAUUGGGCGUAAAGGGCGCGUAGGCGGUGCGGUAAGUCCGCAGUGAAAUCUCUGGGCUCAACUCAGAGUCUGCUGUGGAAACUGCCGUGCUCGAGUGUGGGAGAGGUGAGUGGAAUUCCCGGCGUAGCGGUGAAAUGCGUAGAUAUCGGGAGGAACACCUGUGGCGAAAGCGGCUCACUGGACCACAACUGACGCUGAGGCGCGAAAGCUAGGGGAGCAAACAGG
rnacentral:rRNA from 1 species